CUGACAUCCUCUCUACAAUCUCUUAGAUUGAUCCAAAUUCCCAACUUUGUUUCCAGAAAUCUGGGGCUUUUCCUGCAUAGGUGAAGAAGAAGCCACCAUCAUGGCAGGCAAGGCAAGAACAGGGAUGAAUGCCUGCUUUUCACACUGCUCCUGACUUACUGCGUUACUGAGGAUAGG
rnacentral:lncRNA from 1 species